UGGGAGCUGCAGGAUUCGUUCUGUCUCCUGUGGAAGGAAAACACAGCUCUGCAUCUUCCUGUGCCAGCAAAGGAAUCAGUUCUGGAAUACAGCAAGUGUGACAAUGCCUUUCCUGAGUCAGGAAAGUCAUGGCAUGGAGUUGUUUUUCAUCUGAAGGCCCUCAGACCCUCUGAGCAGCUCCCUGGGGAUUCCGAGUGGACAGAAACAGCCUCUGCCACAGCUUUGUUAGCCAAGCACGGAAUUCAACUUGUUAUUUUCACUUGCCUGUGCUGGCUCACAAGUGACUCAGAAUUUGAUCAAUACUGCUGGUGGCUGUUGGUGCAGCAACUGAUGGGGAGCUGGAGGAGAAUUAUUCUGCUGAAAGCCUCGAGAAAAAUCAGUCAGAGAAGGCUGUGCCGCCAGAGCCCCAUCCCGUCACGCUCAGACAAAAUCCUCAGAAAUCCCACCUUAAAAACCACACUGGAAACACCAGGAGGAAAGUAUCAAGACAAGCAGUCCUUGGGAAUGUAUGGAAUUGACACAGAAGUCAUGGAGCAACUGAGCAGUGACAGGACUGGAAAGUCUCACUUGUAG
rnacentral:lncRNA from 1 species